rnacentral:rRNA from 1 species
UACAGAGGUGGCAAGCGUUGUUCGGAAUUACUGGGCGUAAAGGGCGCGUAGGCGGCCUGCUAAGUCGAACGUGAAAUCCCUGGGCUCAACCCAGGAACUGCGUCCGAUACUGGUUGGCUUGAAUCCGGGAGAGGGAUGCGGAAUUCCAGGUGUAGCGGUGAAAUGCGUAGAUAUCUGGAGGAACACCGGUGGCGAAGGCGGCAUCCUGGACCGGCAUUGACGCUGAGGCGCGAAAGCCAGGGGAGCAAACGGG